UUGCACGCUGGCGGCAGGCCUAACCCAUGCCAGUCGAACGGUAACAGGAAGAAGCUUGCUUCUUUGCUGACGAGUGGCGGACGGGUGAGUAAUGUCUGGGAAACUGCCUGAUGGAGGGGGAUAACUACUGGAAACGGUAGCUAAUACCGCAUAACGUCGCAAGACCCAAGAGGGGGACCUUCGGGCCUCUUGCCAUCGGAUGUGCCCAGAUGGGAUUAGCUAGUAGGUGGGGUAACGGCUCACCUAGGCGACGAUCCCUAGCUGGUCUGAGAGGAUGACCAGCCACACUGGAACUGAGACACGGUCCAGACUCCUACGGGAGGCAGCAGUGGGGAAUAUUGCACAAUGGGCGCAAGCCUGAUGCAGCCAUGCCGCGUGUAUGAAGAAGGCCUUCGGGUUGUAAAGUACUUUCAGCGGGGAGGAAGGGAGUAAAGUUAAUACCUUUGCUCAUUGACGUUACCCGCAGAAGAAGCACCGGCUAACUCCGUG
rnacentral:rRNA from 1 species